ACAUCUAAGUACCUGCAGGAAGAGAAAGAAAAUUCGAUUCCCUGAGUAGCGGCGAGCGAAACGGGAAAAGCCCAAACCAAUGAGCUUGCUCAUUGGGGUUGUAGGACUCCAAUAUGGUAGUUCUUUCAGAUAGUCGAAUGACUUGGAAAAGUCAGUCAAAGAGGGUAAAAACCCCGUAGAUGAAAUUUGGAAGGCACCUAGGAGGAUCCUGAGUACGGCGGAACACGAGGAAUUCCGUCGGAAUCCGGGAGGACCAUCUCCCAAGGCUAAAUACUCCCUAGUGACCGAUAGUGAACCAGUACCGUGAGGGAAAGGUGAAAAGCACCCCGGAAGGGGAGUGAAAUAGAACCUGAAACCGUGUGCCUACAACAAGUCAAAGCCCGUUAAUGGGUGAUGGCGUGCCUUUUGUAGAAUGAACCGGCGAGUUACGAUUGCAUGCGAGGUUAAGUUGAAGAGACGGAGCCGCAGCGAAAGCGAGUCUGAAUAGGGCGUUUGAGUAUGUAGUCGUAGACCCGAAACCAUGUGAUCUACCCAUGUCCAGGUUGAAGGUGCGGUAAAACGCACUGGAGGACCGAACCCACGUACGUUGAAAAGUGCGGGGAUGAGGUGUGGGUAGCGGAGAAAUUCCAAACGAACUUGGAGAUAGCUGGUUCUCUCCGAAAUAGCUUUAGGGCUAGCCUCGGAAUUGAGAAUGAUGGAGGUAGAGCACUGUUUGGACUAGGGGCCCAUCUCGGGUUACCGAAUUCAGAUAAACUCCGAAUGCCAUUCAUUCAUAUCCGGGAGUCAGACUGUGAGUGAUAAGAUCCAUAGUCGAAAGGGAAACAGCCCAGACCACCAGCUAAGGUCCCAAAAUAUAUGUUAAGUGGAAAAGGAUGUGGGGUUGCACAGACAACUAGGAUGUUGGCUUAGAAGCAGCCACCAUUUAAAGAGUGCGUAAUAGCUCACUAGUCGAGUGACCCUGCGCCGAAAAUGUACCGGGGCUAAACAUAUUACCGAAGCUGUGGAGUACACCUUUAGGUGUAUUGGUAGGAGAGCGUUCUAAGGGCGUUGAAGGCAGAUCGUGAGGACUGCUGGAGCGCUUAGAAGUGAGAAUGCCGGUAUGAGUAGCGAAAGACAGGUGAGAAUCCUGUCCACCGAAUGACUAAGGUUUCCUGGGGAAGGCUCGUCCGCCCAGGGUUAGUCGGGACCUAAGCCGAGGCCGACAGGCGUAGGCGAUGGACAACAGGUUGAUAUUCCUGUACUCGUUGUUUUUGUUUGAGCAAUGGAGGGACGCAGGAGGCUAAGGAAUGCAGACGAUUGGAAAUGUCUGUCUAAGCAGUAAGUCU
rnacentral:rRNA from 1 species